rnacentral:rRNA from 1 species
AAGCUCGUAGUUGAAUUUCGGGAUCAAUAUGUCGGUCGUGCCUUCGGUACGUACUGGUAUCAUUGGUCUCUCCUUUCUGACGAACCAUGAUGUCAUUAAUUUGGUGUUAUGGGGAGUUAGGACUGUUACUUUGAAAAAAUUGAGUGUUUAAAGCAGGCUUUAGCUUGAAUACAUUAGCAUGGAAUAAUGAAAUAGGACGUUCGAACCUAUUUUGUUGGUUUCUAGGAUCAACGUAAUGAUUAAUAGGGAUAGUUGGG